rnacentral:rRNA from 1 species
GAUGAACGCUGGCGGCGUGCUUAACACAUGCAAGUCGAACGGGAUCCCAGGAGCUUGCUCCUGGGUGAGAGUGGCGAACGGGUGAGUAAUGCGUGACCGACCUGCCCCAUACACCGGAAUAGCUCCUGGAAACGGGUGGUAAUGCCGGAUGCUCCAGUUGGAUGCAUGUCCUUCUGGGAAAGAUUCUAUCGGUAUGGGAUGGGGUCGCGUCCUAUCAGCUUGAUGGCGGGGUAACGGCCCACCAUGGCUUCGACGGGUAGCCGGCCUGAGAGGGCGACCGGCCACAUUGGGACUGAGAUACGGCCCAGACUCCUACGGGAGGCAGCAGUGGGGAAUAUUGCACAAUGGGCGCAAGCCUGAUGCAGCGACGCCGCGUGCGGGAUGACGGCCUUCGGGUUGUAAACCGCUUUUGACUGGGAGCAAGCCCUUCGGGGUGAG